UGGGGGUAUGGCUUAGUUGGUAGAGUGCUUGCCUCAUAAACAUGAGGCCCUGGGUUCAAUCCCCAGUACCACAA